rnacentral:rRNA from 1 species
GACGAACGCUGGCGGCGUGCUUAACACAUGCAAGUCGAACGGAAAGGCCCUGCUUUUGUGGGGUGCUCGAGUGGCGAACGGGUGAGGAACACGUGAGUAACCUGCCCUUGACUUUGGGAUAACUUCAGGAAACUGGGGCUAAUACCGGAUAGGAUCUCCUGCUGCAUGGUGGGGGUUGGAAAGUUUCGGCGGUUGGGGAUGGACUCGCGGCUUAUCAGCUAGUUGGUGGGGUAGCGGCUUACCAAGGCUUUGACGGGUAGCCGGCCUGAGAGGGUGACCGGGCACAUUGGGACUGAGAUACGGACCAGACGCCUACGGGAGGCAGAAGUGGGGAAUAUUGCACAAUGGGCGGAAGCCUGAUGCAGCAACGCCGCGUGCGGGAUGACGGCCUUCGGGUUGUAAACCGCUUUCGCCUGUGACGAAGCGUGAGUGACGGUAAUGGGUAAAGAAGCACCGGCUAACUACGUG